GACGAGCCACCCAAACGUUAUUCGGAAUUACUGGGCUUAAAGGGUGCGUAGGCGGUGCGGAAAGUAGGGUGUGAAAGCCCUCGGCUCAACCGAGGAAUAGCGCUCUAAACUACCGUGCUUGAGGGAGACAGAGGUAAGCGGAACUUCGGGUGGAGCGGUGAAAUGCGUUGAUAUCCGAAGGAACACCGGUGGCGAAAGCGACGUACUGGACCUCUUCUGACGCUGAGGCGCGAAAGCUAGGGGAGCAAACGGG
rnacentral:rRNA from 1 species